rnacentral:rRNA from 1 species
UACGUAGGGGGGCAAGCGUUGUCCGGAAUCAUUGGGCGUAAAGAGCGUGUAGGCGGCCCGGUAAGUCUGUUGUGAAAGUCCAGGGCUCAACCCUGGAAAGCCGAUGGAUACUGCCGGGCUAGAGUUCGGAAGAGGCGAGUGGAAUUCCUGGUGUAGCGGUGGAAUGCGCAGAUAUCAGGAGGAACACCUAUAGCGAAGGCAGCUCGCUGGGACGACACUGACGCUGAGACGCGAAAGCGUGGGGAGCGAACAGG